rnacentral:rRNA from 1 species
UAGGGAAUCUUCCACAAUGGGCGCAAGUCUGAUGGAGCAACGCCGCGCGAGUGAAGAAGGUUUUCGGACCGUAAAGCUCUGUUGUUGGUGAAGAAGGAUAGAGGUAGUAACUGGCCUUUAUUUGACGGUAAUCAACCAGAAAGUCACGGCUAACUACGUGCCAGCAGCCGCGGUAAUACGUAGGUGGCAAGCGUUGUCCGGAUUUAUUGGGCGUAAAGCGAGCGCAGGCGGAAGAAUAAGUCUGAUGUGAAAGCCCUCGGCUUAACCGAGGAAUUGCAUCGGAAACUGUUUUCUUGAGUGCAGAAGAGGAGAGUAGAACUCCAUGUGUAGCGGUGGAAUGCGUAGAUAUAUGGAAGAAUACCAGUGGCGAAGGCGGCUCUCUGGUCUGCAACUGACGCUGAGGCUCGAAAGCAUGGGUAGCGAACAGGAUUAGAUACCCUGGUAGUCCAUGCCGUAAACGAUGAGUGCUAAGUGUUGGGAGGCUUCCGCCUCUCAGUGCUGCAGCUAACGCAUUAAGCACUCCGCCUGGGGGAGUACGAC